GAAAUGCGAUAAGUAAUGUGAAUUGCAGAAUUCAGUGAAUCAUCGAAUCUUUGAACGCACAUUGCGCCCGCCAGCACUCUGGCGGGCAUGCCUGUCCGAGCGUCAUUUACCACCCUCGGGCCCCUCUGGGGGCCCGGUGCUGGGGGAACGGCCCAGGCCGCCCCCGAAAUGCAGUGGCGACCCCGCCGCGUCCUCCCCUGCGCAGUAGCACAAUCUCGCACCGGAAGCGCGGAGGCGGUCACGCCUGGAAACGCCCCAACUCAACGCAGUUGACCUCGGAUCAGGUAGGAGUACCCGCUGAACUUAA
rnacentral:misc_RNA from 1 species